UCCACAUGGUCACUUGGCUGUCUGCAAAUCUCUCCGUAUGGCAACACAAAUUUUCUUAAACCUCAUCGAUGGACCGAGUCAUGUCAACGAUAAUAAGCCAAUGACUUGUCACCGACUACCGAAAAUCGUAACAUUAAUAAAUCCCUGUCGAUGCGA